rnacentral:rRNA from 1 species
UACAGAGGUGGCGAGCGUUACUCGGAUUUAUUGGGUGUAAAGGGCAAGUAGGCGUCCCGACAAGUUAGAAGUGAAAUCCUGCAGCUUAACUGCAGAACUGCUUUUAAAACUGUUAGGAUUGAGACUGGAAGAGGAAAGCGGAAUUCUCGGUGUAAGAGUGAAAUCUGUAGAUAUCGAGAGGAACACCAGUGGCGAAGGCGGCUUUCUGGUCCAGUACUGACGCUGAAUUGCGAAAGCUAGGGGAGCAAACAGG